rnacentral:rRNA from 1 species
UACGUAGGGCGCAAGCGUUGUCCGGAAUUAUUGGGCGUAAAGAGCUCGUAGGCGGCCAGUUGCGUCUGCUGUGAAAUCCCGGGGCUCAACCCCGGGCGUGCAGUGGAUACGGGCUGGCUAGAGGCAGGCAGGGGAGAACGGAAUUCCCGGUGUAGCGGUGAAAUGCGCAGAUAUCGGGAGGAACACCGGUGGCGAAGGCGGUUCUCUGGGCCGUUACUGACGCUGAGGAGCGAAAGCGUGGGGAGCGAACAGG